rnacentral:rRNA from 1 species
UGCAAGUCGAACGGUGAAGCCCAGCUUGCUGGGUGGAUCAGUGGCGAACGGGUGAGUAACACGUGAGCAACCUGCCCUCCACUUCGGGAUAAGCCUUGGAAACGGGGUCUAAUACCGGAUAUGAGCAUCCAUCGCAUGGUGGGUGUUGGAAAGUUUUUCGGUGGGGGAUGGGCUCGCGGCCUAUCAGCUUGUUGGUGGGGUGAUGGCCUACCAAGGCGUCGACGGGUAGCCGGCCUGAGAGGGCGACCGGCCACACUGGGACUGAGACACGGCCCAGACUCCUACGGGAGGCAGCAGUGGGGAAUAUUGCACAAUGGGCGCAAGCCUGAUGCAGCGACGCCGCGUGAGGGAUGACGGCCUUCGGGUUGUAAACCUCUUUCAGCAGGGAAGAAGCGCAAGUGACGGUACCUGCAGAAGAAGCGCCGGCUAACUACGUGCCAGCAGCCGCGGUAAUACGUAGGGCGCAAGCGUUGUCCGGAAUUAUUGGGCGUAAAGAGCUCGUAGGCGGUCUGUCGCGUCUGGUGUGAAAUCCCGAGGCUCAACCUCGGGCUUGCAUCGGGUACGGGCAGACUAGAGUGCGGUAGGGGAGACUGGAAUUCCUGGUGUAGCGGUGGAAUGCGCAGAUAUCAGGAGGAACACCGAUGGCGAAGGCAGGUCUCUGGGCCGCAA